rnacentral:rRNA from 1 species
CUACGGGUCGCUCCAGUGGGGAAUAUUGCACAAUGGACGAAAGUCUGAUGCAGCAACGCCGCGUGGAGGAUGACACAUUUCGGUGCGUAAACUCCUUUUAUAUAGGAAGAUAAUGACGGUACUAUAUGAAUAAGCGCCGGCUAACUACCGUGCCAGCAGCCGCGGUAAUACGGAGGGCGCAAGCGUUACUCGGAAUCACUGGGCGUAAAGAGCGUGUAGGCGGAUAGAUAAGUCAGGAGUGAAAUCCUAUGGCUCAACCAUAGAACUGCUCUUGAAACUGUCUAUCUAGAAUAUGGGAGAGGUAGAUGGAAUUUCUGGUGUAGGGGUAAAAUCCGUAGAGAUCAGAAGGAAUACCGAUUGCGAAGGCGAUCUACUGGAACAUUAUUGACGCUGAGACGCGAAAGCGUGGGGAGCAAACAGGAUUAGAUACCCUCGUAGUC